AUUUUUUGUUAUUGAAUUCUUAUUUUUAAGUGGAAUAAAAUUAUUUUGCUAGAAGAGUAAAGGGACUUGAAUUUGCCAAAUCCCUAAAACUGUCCUAACAAAUACUUUUAAACAUGGAAGCAAAAUUAAUUUAACCAUUAUUACUAUUUUCUCUCAUCCUUUUUUCUUCAUAAGGAAAGAAAUUCUAGGAGUUACUAAUUUUCAUAAAUGAAAUUUCAUUAUCAUCAAACCUGAGCAUUUGAACUCACCUCAAGUUUAUUAGGAGGAAGCAGCCCUGAGCUUUAAGGACCCUAGAAUUUUUGAGACAUAAUGAAACUAAAGCAUGUUUAUAGGACUAUAGAAUCAGAAUUGGAAGAUGCCUUAAAGGUCAUCCCCAGUAAACCCUCAUAUUUUUACAAAAUAUAAUAACAAAAUAUAGAAUUAUUUUUUAAAAUUGUAACUAUCAAAUAAGGAAUUUGAAACCAGGUUUUCUGGAUCAGUACUUUUUCCAAUGUAUCAUGCUGCCUCCCACUUCUAAGCAAAAAAAUCCGAAAUCUAUAAGACUAUAGAUCUAGGGCUGGAAAGGUCUUCAGAAGAUUGAAUUGCUUUCUUUUUCACUAAUAUACAUGUUAUUCUUUAGAGAUAUGAAAGUGUCCAUUUCUCUGAAUUGCAUUGUUUAAUCGUAGUCAUUUCAUCCUUGUGCAUACAUUUUUAGAGUCAUUCUACCCCUAUCCAUCAGUAAUAAAAACGGAUACUGCUUAGACCAAAGAAACAAGGUCCUUUAAAUAUAGCAAUUACAUUAGUGGUUUGUUUUUGACUCUCUAUUUCAUUAAAGCAAUAAAUACUAACACUGUAUAUUAAUAUUUAAGAGGAAUAUCUUCCUCAGAAAGAAAUUGAAAAGCACCACUUAUUUUUUUAUAUCUACAAUAUUUUAUGGCUCCAUCACAGAGAAACAGGAAUGCAUGCAAUGAUUUUGACUGAACUCAGGUCUGUUAGGAGGAGGCAGCCUGAGCUUCAAAAACUCUAUAAUUUUU
rnacentral:lncRNA from 1 species